rnacentral:rRNA from 1 species
GACGAACCGAGCGAACGUUGUUCGGAAUCACUGGGCUUAAAGGGUGCGUAGGCGGGCUGCCAAGUUUGAGGUGAAAUCCUCCGGCUCAACCGGGGAAGUGCCUUGAAUACUGGCGGUCUGGAGGAGGUAGGGGCGUGCGGAACUAACGGUGGAGCGGUGAAAUGCGUUGAUAUCGUUAGGAACUCCGGUGGCGAAGGCAGAUCUCUGGGCCGUACUGACGCUGAGGAGCGAAAGCGUGGGGAGCGAACAGG